rnacentral:rRNA from 1 species
UACGAAGGGGCUAGCGUUGCUCGGAAUCACUGGGCGUAAAGCGCACGCAGGCGGCUUUCUAAGUCAGGGGUGAAAUCCUGGAGCUCAACUCCAGAACUGCCUUUGAUACUGGAGAGCUCGAGUCCGGAAGAGGUGAGUGGAACUCCGAGUGUAGAGGUGAAAUUCGUAGAUAUUCGGAAGAACACCAGUGGCGAAGGCGGCUCACUGGUCCGGUACUGACGCUGAUGUGCGAAAGCGUGGGGAGCAAACAGGG